UAAACAACAAGAAAAUGUUUUAAUGUCUUCUCAUGAACGGAAUCAGUGUCCACAAUUUUGUGAAACUAGUGAAAUGGAAAUGAAAUUUUUUGACGUAAUUUUUGUCAUCGAAUUAGUGCAUCUAUUUCAUGUCUGUGAAGCAAGCUUACAUACAUGGGGACAACGUGGUUAUUAUGACAGAAACAAGUUGGUCGAAACGAAACUUAUUGAGUACAAUAGCACGACACCGAAAAAUUACACAAUUAUUUACCGUUAUUAUCAAAAUUACAUGAAACCAGUCUCUCACAUCGAGAUAAAUGUUAAUAACACAGAAAGCAAUGGCUACAUAAAUCGCUCCACAUCCAGACAAUACUAUUACGGGACACUGAGAGACGGCACUGUUUACGGCACAAAUUCAUAUUAAUAAUACGAAAAGUGUUCUAGCUACCGUAACCAUUUACGAGACGAAUUAUUUACCAUUUACUUAUGUCUUGGAAGGUGGACCAGAAAAUAACAAAAGCUUCACUUUUCUCUACAUGACGGAUGCAUUCCCUACGCCACAGCCGUACGUUCUAAGUUCAAUCGGUAAACGACAGAGUGGUGAUGAUCUUCUAUACUUUGAAUGCAGAAAUGUUACUAACUACAAUCGCUUUCCUAGUCGAGCAUUCUCAUACAGUGGCCCAGCUGGCGAGUACCUAACUUGCGUUAGAUUUUCUUUCAAUUCUCCAACGGCUAUGGUUUUGGUGAACACAUCCUACGUAGGAGAACGAGAAUUUAACGCAAUUGCCUACGAUAUGAAUUCGAACCGUUUUGUAGCCAAUUUUUCUGUGUUUGGGAUUAAAUCGACGAGUCGACCAAAUGGAUAUUUGGGAAUCGUCGAGGUUCUAACUUGAAUAAUUUAGUUCUAAGCCUGGCGUGUUCGCGUGAAUGAAUGAAACAGCUUAAGAAAUACAAAUAUUUUAAGUAGAUCAAAGCUCUUCUAUAUUGUUUUUUUGCGAUUUAUCUUCUCUUAUUCGCCCUUAAUUCACUCUAUUAGACACGCAAGGUACUUAAAUUUAUGUAUUCGUUUCAA